GUCCAAGUAAUUUAAUAAAAAUACUGGCCUUGUAAGCCAGCAAUGAAGGUAAACCCCUCCCUAGGACA
rnacentral:tRNA from 1 species